ACGGCCGCAUCACAUCGAAAUACCAGUUCCUGUACGAUCACCGAAGUUAAGCAAUAUUGAGACUUGUCACUACCUAGAUAGAUGACCGCUUGGGAAUACCAGGUUCUGUA